rnacentral:rRNA from 1 species
CAGGAAGAAAGCUUGCUUUCUUUGCUGGCGACCGGCGCACGGGUGAGUAACACGUAUCCAACCUGCCCUUUACUCGGGGAUAGCCUUUCGAAAGAAAGAUUAAUACCCGAUGGCAUAAUGAUUCCGCAUGGUUUCAUUAUUAAAGGAUUCCGGUAAAGGAUGGGGAUGCGUUCCAUUAGGUUGUUGGUGAGGUAACGGCUCACCAAGCCUUCGAUGGAUAGGGGUUCUGAGAGGAAGGUCCCCCACAUUGGAACUGAGACACGGUCCAAACUCCUACGGGAGGCAGCAGUGAGGAAUAUUGGUCAAUGGGCGCUAGCCUGAACCAGCCAAGUAGCGUGAAGGAUGAAGGCUCUAUGGGUCGUAAACUUCUUUUAUAUAAGAAUAAAGUGCAGUAUGUAUACUGUUUUGUAUGUAUUAUAUGAAUAAGGAUCGGCUAACUCCGUGCCAGCAGCCGCGGUAAUACGGAGGAUCCGAGCGUUAUCCGGAUUUAUUGGGUUUAAAGGGAGCGUAGGUGGACUGGUAAGUCAGUUGUGAAAGUUUGCGGCUCAACCGUAAAAUUGCAGUUGAUACUGUCAGUCUUGAGUACAGUAGAGGUGGGCGGAAUUCGUGGUGUAGCGGUGAAAUGCUUAGAUAUCACGAAGAACUCCGAUUGCGAAGGCAGCUCACUGGACUGCAACUGACACUGAUGCUCGAAAGUGUGGGUAUCAAACAGGAUUAGAUACCCUGGUAGUCCACACAGUAAACGAUGAAUACUCGCUGUUUGCGAUAUACAGUAAGCGGCCAAGCGAAAGCAUUAAGUAUUCCACCUGGGGAGUACGCCGGCAACGGUGAAACUCAAAGGAAUUGACGGGGGCCCGCACAAGCGGAGGAACAUGUGGUUUAAUUCGAUGAUACGCGAGGAACCUUACCCGGGCUUAAAUUGCAGUGGAAUGAUGUGGAAACAUGUCAGUGAGCAAUCACCGCUGUGAAGGUGCUGCAUGGUUGUCGUCAGCUCGUGCCGUGAGGUGUCGGCUUAAGUGCCAUAACGAGCGCAACCCUUAUCUUCAGUUACUAACAGGUCAUGCUGAGGACUCUGGAGAGACUGCCGUCGUAAGAUGUGAGGAAGGUGGGGAUGACGUCAAAUCAGCACGGCCCUUACGUCCGGGGCUACACACGUGUUACAAUGGGGGGUACAGAAGGCAGCUAGCGGGUGACCGUAUGCUAAUCCCAAAAGCCUCUCUCAGUUCGGAUCGAAGUCUGCAACCCGACUUCGUGAAGCUGGAUUCGCUAGUAAUCGCGCAUCAGCCACGGCGCGGUGAAUACGUUCCCGGGCCUUGUACACACCGCCCGUCAAGCCAUGGGAGCCGGGGGUACCUGAAGUACGUAACCGCAAGG